GAUACUCGUGGCGAUGGAGUCCGCCUUACCCCAACCGCUGGACCCGCCAGCUGAUGACUCCUGUUUCCAC
rnacentral:ncRNA from 2 species